rnacentral:tRNA from 2 species
GCGGACAUGGCGGAAUUGGCAGACGCGCUAGACUUAGAAUCUAGUUCUCAGGAGUGGGGGUUCAAGUCCCCCUGUCCGCA